rnacentral:rRNA from 1 species
UACGAAGGGGGCUAGCGUUGUUCGGAUUUACUGGGCGUAAAGCGCACGUAGGCGGAUCUUUAAGUCAGAGGUGAAAUCCCAAGGCUCAACCUUGGAACUGCCUUCGAUACUGAGAGUCUCGAGUCCGGGAGAGGUGAGUGGAACUGCGAGUGUAGAGGUGAAAUUCGUAGAUAUUCGCAAGAACACCAGUGGCGAAGGCGGCUCACUGGCCCGGUACUGACGCUGAGGUGCGAAAGCGUGGGGAGCAAACAGG